AAUAGACCAGAUUCUCUCAUUAAACCCAAUUCAUUAUUUACAAAUCAGUAGAACUUGAUAUUUGAUCCAUGGUUAUGAUCUUCUAUGACCAUGGUCUUCAUCAUCAUCUAUGGCUGUCGUGGAGCAUUUAUCAAUAUUUUUGUCAGUCGGCUAUUUUUUUUUACAUUUUGAACUAAAUUGUUGUGGAGGUUUGAAAAAAGAGAACAAGGUCAGAAAAAUAUUGCUAAUCAUAUCUGCAAUUAACUAUUGCGGCCUUUGACCUAUGUUUGGAGCAGGUGAUUUUAAAUGUGCUCAGUGACAAUAUGGCAAAAUUUGCUAUAAAGGUUAAAAUACCAGCUGGCUUUGGCACAUAGCUCAAAAACACUUUUGUAGCUUUGUCUUGACCUAAUAUUACAUGCCUCAUAAAUCUGGUGCUGCGACGACAAAGGAUUUUCUGAAGCUGAAUUUUAGUAUUGGUGCCAAGUCAUUUUUCAUGCUUAUGGCUGAACACUGAAUUUUGCGCAAGGUUUCAUAAAUUAAUAUUUACAAUCAGGCAGCCCUUGAAUGCAAUAAGAAAAAAUAAGAACAAAGUGUUGCACUGUAGGCAACACUAAAACGGUGAAAAAUGUCUUGUUGAAUGUUAGUGUCUGCAGUAACAUAUUUGCUGUAUGUGUUAAAAGAUGAAACCUUUUUGUUACAUACAGUUGUAAAUACAGUGUAAAAGCCUGUUUGUGUAUAAAUGCCUGUUAAUUUAUAUACAACAAUCUGACCAUAGUCACUCUACAGUCACACUGUAGGUUCUGGAAUAAAUAAAUAUAAUUAAAAAGUAUCGAGCUUUGCUGAACUCAAAUAACUUGACAGACAAUUCACUAAAACUACUAAAAAAAAUCUGCAAAAUCACUGUUUGCAUUUCUAAAAACAUUUUUUUUCAUUACACUUGAGUGGAAAAAGUGUCAUUUUGUUGGGAGAUAAAUUGGUCCCUCUGGAAUUCAAAUGAACAUUUUGAUGUUUUUCUACCUUAAAUCUGACAGGCUUCUGAGCCUUUUUCUUCUUUUUUUUUUAGUCUCCCCACACAUGUCACAUUGCUUCUCCUUUUCUCCUAGAUCCUGGCUUUAACAAGCAAUGAUGGGGAGGCUGAAUCAUGGAUGGGCAUGAGUGUACAGUUAGAUGUCAUGCUUACAGUUCUGUCAACCCACUGGAACCCACAAAGGCUUUGGGAUGGAUUGAGCUCGGGCAGAUUGGAGAAAGCAAAGGCUCCAAUAUCUUCAAGUGCAACAUUUCCUGAGAUGAUGCUGAAGAAAACACAUCAGCGUGGGGAAAAAACAACAAAAGAGAGAAGAUGUCAGGUGCAUGUUUGGUGCAACAGCCUCAGACAGUUCUGGUCUUAUUGCUGAACCCCUCCCUGCACCAAACACCCUUCUCCCCCUGGCCUUGAGAUUCCUUGAAAAUGGUUCAGUGGCCAAAACAACAGACACCUGCUUCCUAUGCUGAGGCUACUCCAGCACGAACAAAGUUCUUUGGAAUAUUCCGUAAACACGUGAAUACAGCUCAACACACAGGAAUUUGUCAAUGAGAUACGCCAGAGAGGGCUAACGGGGCUCGUCUUCCUGUGUGGAACCUAAUCUACUGUGACAAGCUCCUGUACUUGAUGAAUGAACUGCAGGCUGUGGGUCAUUGAGAUGAUCACUGAUGUCCAUCAGUAUCUGAGGCAUCCACUCUGGGACGUCGUAGGGGCUCGACAGGAUGCACGCACUGAGGCCAAGCACUCCAGCAUGGCGCCGCACUAGGUCUAAAUACACACACACACACACACACACACAUAUGCAUUUAUGUGCCUGUCACAACCAGACAGUGAGGCAAUCACAAUAAUACUUGCCCUAUUACCCUUUCUUAUCCUGGGGGAUUUGUGAACCUUGAAAUGAUUAGGCCUAUUUUAACUGUCCAUUUGUAGUGCGAGUAAGUGUGUGUGUGUGUGUGUGUGUGUUUGUGAGUGUGUACCUGUAGAGGCCAGCUCUCCUCUGGCCUUGGGGAGUCGUGUCUGACUCAGCGUCUGGAGCCGUGUCUGCAGACUGAGGUCCAGAGGGAAGAAGUGGCACUGCAGUAAACCACUGAGGGUGGUGGCUGCCAUGUCCCUCACCUGUGAGAAGGAGAAGGAAUGAGGGGACAGGAGGGACAGCAAGGUCAGAGAAAGAAAAAGGAGAUCCUUGAAGAUCAGAGCAGAAAAUGUAAGGACAUAGUGAAGAGUGCACGGCAGUUUGAGGGCAGGAAAUGCAUACACGAUUUAUAAAAAGGAGAGGGACAAAAUGAGGUUUGUUGAACGGAGACAUGGAGGAGGAGGAGACAGUGGUGACGGUACAGACAGAGGAGAAAGGAAGGUGCUAGGUUGAGCUGUGGUGAAAUUCACUCGCAGAACGUCACUGUCUUCCUGCUUCACUUUACAUAAAUAAUGAAUAAGCACUGAGUGAAGGUUGAUCCAUUGGAACAGACAUGGAGACACAGACAACACACCCACCAGCUGCUGGCUCACAAAGUUUACAAAAUAUUAGGCAAAUUAGCUGGUGUUGUAAAAAUGUGUGUGAGUGUUGAACACUGUGCAUCUAGAUCAAUGGAAAUAAGUCUUUAGAAUUAGAAGCAAUGAAUGUGAAGCAUCGAUUUAACCACAACUGAAUAAUAAGUAUUAGCCAGGACGGACAGUCCUGAAUGCAUUUUGCAAAUUCAUAUUUUGGAGAUUAGAUUGAGUUGUCCUGUUUUUUCCUCAGAUGACUUAAAUUACAGCCUGCUAAAAAAAAUGUGCAAGGCAGCCAUGGUGCAAAUUACCUGCAACCACUGACGAAGAGAAAUGCAUCCAAACAGGGAAAUGAAUCAUGAGCUCAGCCGUGAGGAAGAAGGUUAUUUUUAAGCCAUAACCGUGAAUUGGUGGAUAGAUGAAGAUGUAGUGAGGAGAGACCAGGGGACAAUAAGUGACCAUUUAUAAUCCCCUGACAAUUAAAGCUCACAGAAGGGACGGUGGCCGCAUUAAACCGCCGUCUGCUGUGUUUCUUUGCCACAGGGCUUUACCUCCAGCUGCUCAUCCAGCAACAGCUGCAUCACCAGCUUUUGGAUCUGGAGCACCUCGUCGGCCAUGCUGAGCAGAGUAAACAAGUUGUAGAAAACCAUAAUCUGGACGUAGGUGAGCACUGAGAAGCGUGCAUGCCAUGACCUGCUGCCAACCAUCUAAGGAGAGGAGGGAGGAGAGGGGAAAAGAGAAACAAAGAUGGCUGAGGUGAAAGGCAGAAGUAACUUGAGUUGGAUGUGGACUGCAGGCGGGGACUGUGAGAUCUCAAAAUUAAAGGAAUUGGAGAAUGAAGUCUUCAAACUCUGCAGAAGCGAAACACAAGUCUUUUUCAAUCUGAGGGGGAAAAAACAGCAAAGAGGGAGAGGACUUGAGGAGGAGUGCGAACUGUAUGUAUAGUACAAUCUUCUACCUGAACAUGGCCAGAAGGGCGGCUCCAAUGAGACUUUGUGUGAACUCCUGAAGGUCUGCAUCAGUAAGUCUCUGACCCUCGGGAACCACAGUGAUCCAGCUGGGGUCAGUGUAACGCUCCCGGUGCACACGGCGCACAACGCUGGCUGGGAGACGCUGAAGCAGCCGCAUUAGUCGAGACUGCAGAUCUGCUCUACAUACCAGAAGUGCUGUGAUCCACAACACCAAGUGUCCAAUGUCGUAGGAGUUGGUCAGAUACCGCGGUGCCAACAUUUGAUUGACCCCGACUGGCAGGUUCAGACUUCGUAAAAUCCUGCACUCAUUGUCCAAACCUACACUCACUUGAAGCCCUGGCUGUGUUCCUCUGGAGGCAUAAUGGUGGGCAGGAACAGUUCCAUGUUACUGAUGGCCUUCUGCAUGACCACAUCGAACACACACAGAAGGGGGCGCCACUCAUCCAGCAUCUCCUUGGUGGAUGACUCUGGGAAAUACCUGCAAAGAUCCAGAUUUUCAGCCAUCUACACGUUCUACAACUUGGAAGCUGACAUGGACAUGACUGAAGGAUACCAAAGGACACAGGAGGCCCUCCGCAGCAGUAAUCUGCAUUAUCACGUCAAAAGUCAAAAUGUUAAUUGACCAACCAACAGGCUUUACAGGCUACGUCCUGUCUCCGUCAGCCUUCAAGAUGUAUUCUUAUAUCAGGAACAUCGAUCUCUUCAUCCAUGUGGUGCAGAUCCAGCAGGGUAUUCUUCUCAUGUUAUUACCGGUUUGCCCAUCAGCAUUCACCACAAUUGUUCCAGCAGAGAGACGACCAACCGGGAGAGGAGGAGAACCAAGGAGAGGGAAGAAAGAUGAUGAUCCCAGUGGAGGGAGAUGUUUUUGUGUUCCAUCAACUUGCUCUUCUGCAGCUCAGAAUCUUCCAUCAAAAUCAAGAAAAUCUGUGCCAUGAACACACGCAGACUCCAACAUUAGGUCUCCUGUUUUUAAGCAGUGAUUAAUGGCUGUGCCAGUUUUCUUGCUCCGAGAGAAUAUUGGAAAACUCUGCUUGGCAAAUAAUGUGUGGACUUGAUUUUCAAUAUGAGUUUGUGGCUCGUGUGUGCGUGAGUGAGAAGGGACUUGUGGAUAAAGAUGUCAACAAAUACAUAUACUGAUGCAUGCAUCACACACACACACACACACAUUGCGCCCUCCAUUCUGCUGUGGUUCUCAGUGGGAGAUCUGCAGCCCAGUUAAUCGCCAGACAGACCAGUAAUAUACAGCCCCCACUUCUGCCUUACACACACAUGCACAUACAUAUUCAUAUUUAAACACAUACACUCAAACCAGUCCAAACCACAUAAGUUACUGAACUAACAGAGCGUCUUCAUGUUCUUCACUGGGAUUCCUUUCCCUCGACUUCAGCCUCCACUCUGCUUCUUUUGGAUCCAUUUUUGAACACAUUUUUGAGAAGAAAAAAAACAUGCUGGUGAUCCCCCUGUCUAAAUGCCAAAGUGAGAAGAAAAUGAGGAAGUAAGGAAAAGAAGGCUGACUUUUCCAUCACAGCCCCUGUGGAGCUGCAGCAGGGACAAAACUACCAGCUGUGAUUUCUAGUCGUGAAGAAAGGCAGAGCUGCAAGGAUACGCAGGUAUGCAAUGUUAAUUCCCUCUUUAUCUUCUCUUCUUAUUCUUUUAUCUGCACGGCAGCAGUUCCUCUUGUACUGCCUCUGUAGCAGUAUGUUUGCUAUU